rnacentral:rRNA from 1 species
GAUGAACGCUAGCGGCAGGCCUAACACAUUCAAGUCGAGGGGUAGCAGGAUUAAGCUUGCUUAAUUGCUGACGACCGGCGCACGGGUGCGUAACGCGUAUGCAACCUACCUUAUACUGGGGUAUAGCCCGGAGAAAUUCGGAUUAAUCCCCCAUAGUACUAAUUAAUCGCAUGGUUUAUUAGUUAAAGCAUUGCGGUAUAAGAUGGGCAUGCGUCCUAUUAGCUAGAUGGUGAGGUAACGGCUCACCAUGGCUACGAUAGGUAGGGGGCCUGAGAGGGUGGUCCCCCACACUGGUACUGAGACACGGACCAGACUCCUACGGGAGGCAGCAGUGAGGAAUAUUGGUCAAUGGGCGCAAGCCUGAACCAGCCAUGCCGCGUGCAGGAAGAAUGCCCUAUGGGUUGUAAACUGCUUUCAUUUGGGAAUAAACCUCUUUACGUGUAGAGAGCUGAAGGUACCAAAUGAAUAAGCACCGGCUAACUCCGUGCCAGCCGCCGCGGUAA